AACGAGAAAAAUGGUCCAUGCGGCAAGUUUAGCACACUUAGAAUUUUGACGCAUAAACUGCGUCACUGCGAAAAGGCUGCACGAAAUGCAUGGGCUCCUGUUUCUUCACAGUGCUGCAAUGACCUUGUAGAAGUAAGCAUCCCUUGCCUCUAUGCUGUUUUCUCCUCCGAUGCUUUCAAGAGAGUUGGUGUUGAUCCCAGAGUCGCAAUCACCAUUCCCCAUCGUUGCCAUUUCUCCAACAAGCCAUAGACCACAACUUACCUACCUAUCAUAAAUGCCAACAUAUUUUUCAGGUAUAUAUAUUGAGCAUAUCUAUCAAGAAUAAUUAUUUAUAUUUCAAAAACUUUAUCUAGAAGCUGAUAAAUUGUUAUAUUACUAUACUGAACUAAUUAAAUUAAACAUGUAUAUACUCAUCACAUUUUUUGGCUGGUAUAAAUUAUACCAUGUGCUCAUUGUUUUCUCUAAUGUAAUGCAGCUUGUAGAUGGCUGAGAACGUUGGCUAUGGUUACGCAACCUGAGGUUUUUACAAAUUCGUCAAAAGCUUCAGGAUACAGUAAUCUGUGUUGUGUAUUGUAUGUUUGUUGUCCGUUAAUAAUUUGAGCUUGUUAUCAAGGCUCACAAAUAAAUUACCUUGUAAUGUACAAUUUUAUUCUCUAUCAAAUAAAUUCACGUUUUCGUAAAAUAUAUCUUUUUGGUUGUUUCGAAUUUAAUUUUAUUUGGAUGGAUUGGUGUAUCUUAGAGAAUAUGAGUGUGUGAGUAAACUAUGGAAAAUCUUAAAAUUUAAUUUGUUUGCAAAUGAAUCUCGACCCUAUGUUUGUGUAAACAUUGGUCCGUUAGAUGUGUGCAUUAGAAGAACUAUUAUCGUAUAUUCUACAACAACUCAAACAUGUAUUACAUUCAUUUUCCACAACAACUCAAACAUAUAUGCACUACAUUGUUGGUUUGCGACUGUGCUGAGGACUUUCUGCAUUGAACUAUUCACCAUAUAGUUUCCUCGGCCUAGCUGCAUAAUCUUGUGCAUAUUAUCAUUCAGUGUAUAGAUAAUUUUUAGUUUUACUAUUAUUUGGUGGACUCUGCAAUGUUACAUGAGGUGCUAACUCUUAUUUCCUUACGGAUAAUGCUUUUAUAAUAGUAAUAUUUAAUACAUUUAUAAUUGUGCAAUGUGAAGAAGUAAUUUUUUCAUUAAUGUUGAGAUUAAUUAUUUAAAUUACUAAAAUGAUCGAGUUACUCAUUAUUCAUCCCGAGGCAUUAGGCAUUUCAUCAGCUCAACCUUGUUUCAAGUUUUUGAUUAAUUUCCUAGAGAUAAACAUAAAGUUUAAGCAGAAAAUGAUAUAUAUAAGAGGAUUCGCUUUUUCUAAGACAAAGCCGAAACUAGUUUUAAUUACGGCAUGGAGAAAAUAUGAAAGAAGAUAACAAAAUAGUCUUCCAUAAGUAGUCUGAAUUUUCACAAGCUAUGGAAGAAAAAAAAUUACUAUUAUAAAAGCAUUAUCCGUAAGGAAAUAAGAGUUAGCACCUCAUUUAAGUCCUCAGUUAAAAUCAGUUUGCAUAGGUUGCAUUUAAAUGAGCUUUAUAUAUUCAACAAUAAACACGCCAGUUGAUGGACACUGGCCCGCAUUUUAGUUUUUUUUCUUUUUCAUAUUAAAAUUUUGACUUUUAAUGAGUUGGUCCAAAUAGUUUUUGUGAAUUGGCUCAAGAAACACCAGCGUAGCAAACCGAUGCUUGUAACGGGGAAGGGUCUUAGUGAUCAAGUAUACAAUUGCCCUUGAGUCUGAGUUACAAAUCAUAGCCAAGGUUCAAAGACAUCUUCAUAUGAUUGAUGCCAAGACACCCACCCACACAUACUUGUAUUGAUUUCCCACCCUUAUAAGUGCAAUAACAGUGGCCUCUAAAUAUCCACCAACUUCCUUCAACUUUCCGGCCGAGGUGAUAUAAGGAUGUUGGGUGGUGAAAGAUAAAAAGGAAGAGAAGGAAAGAUCACAUAAUUUGAUCCCUCCUACUAACAAACUAACAAUCAAUAUUUAUCGAUAAAAAAAAUCUUAAACUUUCCCGUAAUUUAUUAUCUAGAAAAAUCAUGUUAUGCAUACACGGUUAUAGAAUUCUCUUUAACAUUUUUCUUUUUGUAGUAUUAUGUCACAGAGAAAUUUGUAGCAACCUUUAACACGUGCUCUGCUAUUGUCGCUAACGCAAGUGAUCAAGAGCGUGGUCAAAAGGUCAAGGAAACUGUACGACAAACCAAUUCAAUUAAAUGUGAAUGAUGAACAAGAUCAGAUAUAGUUAAUUUUAUGCAGCUAGGCCAAGAACCCAUAUCGCGAACAUCUAUACAUAUAAAUUAUUGUCAUAAAACAACCAAAAGGAUAUUAUUCAGGAAGACAUAGAAGUUAUUUGAUAGAUAAUAAUAAAGUUGUUACAAUAUUAAUUGUAACUUAUUUAUGAUCCUUUAUAGUUAAGGAGCUCAAAUUAUUAACUGACAACAUACAAUACACAACACACACUACUGUAUCCUGAAGCUUUGACGAAUUGUAAAAACCUCAGGUUGCGUAACCAUAACCAACGUUCCCAGCCAUCUACAAGCUGCAAUUACAUUAGAGAAAACAAUGAAUCAGCAUAUGCUACUUUAUAACAGCCAAAAAUGUGAUGAGUAUAUACAUGUUUAAUUUAAUUAGUUCAGUAUAGAAAUAUAACAAUUUAGCAGCUUCUGGAUAAAGUUUUUGAAAUAUAAAUAAUUAUUCUUGAUAGAUAUGCUCAUAUAUAUACCUGAAAAAUAUGUUGGCAUUUAUGAUAGGUAGGUAAGUUGUGGUCUAUGGCUUGUUGGAGAAAUGGCAACGAUGGGGAAUGGUGAUUGCGACUCUGGGAUCAACACCAACUCUCUUGAAAGCAUCGGAGGAGAAAACAGCAUAGAGGCAAGGGAUGCUUACUUCUACAAGGUCAUUGCAGCACUGUGAAGAAACAGGAGCCCAUGCAUUUCGUGCAGCCUUUUCGCAGUGACGCAGUUUAUGCGUCAAAAUUCUAAGUGUGCUAAACUUGCCGCAUGGACCAUUUUUCUCGUUUUCAUGUUCAGGAUAACUGUGGUCGUAUUCAGCAACGGUCACAGUGAUCAAAAGCAGCAGGAACACACCAACGAACUUGCUCAUCUUAACUAAAUGAAUUUGAUUGAUGAUUUACUCUUUUUAAGUAGCUUCAAGCUUGAAAUACAACUCACAAAAUUUGCUUUGCACCAUGCUCUAUAUAUACUGCUAGAUUAGCAAGAUAAACUAGUAAACUAUGCACAAAACCUUGUUCACAAGCAUCUGGAUUUGGCAUUCUUUAAAUUGAUGGGAGAAGGUAGGGUUACAGCUUCAUGCCCGCAGAUUCUUACCGUAGAGAAGAAAGCAGGCCUGAGAAUAUUUUGAAUCAGGAAGCACUGCACAGCCUUGGUACGUAUUUGGUAUUACAAUAUCUUACUCAACAGCUUGUAUGUCUUACUUAUGGAGGCUUUCUCUUAUAUAUAUAUAUAAAGAAUCGAAAAAUAAAUACUUUUUCAACGAUGCUAUUUUGUGAAACGUCAUGCUAUACUUAGACGGUCCAUGGUUUAUUAAUAAUAUAAAUAAUGAAGGUGGCUCGGAGGUUGUCACAGAAGUCAAACUAGUCUUGAAAACUGAAAGUUUAUCUCAAAUGUGCUUGUUUGUUUAAGGAGGAUGUUUUUCAUAAGAGAAUUUCAUUAUUUAUAAAUUUAAUUCUGAGAUUUAUUUAAAUAAAUUUAUAACAAAUUAUACGAAGGUCACAAUAAAUCAAGAAAAAUAUUUAAUUGUAUGAAUUUAAAUGCAUAAAAAUAUAGACGAAAUCUGAUUGCUUGACCUUUUAAUACCAACACCCUUCUUUGCAUGUUUUGCAUCAAGAAUAAGAAUAAAGGUUUUAUGGCUGUAUAUUUAGAAAACAAGAAUCUAGUGUAGUUUAUGCAAACCAACAAUUGAUAUUACAGCGAAACUAUAUAUAUAUAUAUAGGGGUAACAAUCCCCUCAAUUUACUAAGUUACUUUGCAUAUAUACUUAAAAAUAAAUAUCUGGCCUUAAUUAUUAUUGGACCCUAAUUGUAAAUGACAAAGCCCACACCCCAUAGAACAAACACCCCAUGGAACAAAUUAUCCAUUGCUUUAUUUGUUUUAAUAAUUAUAUAUAUAUAUAUAUAUAUAUAUAUAUAUAUAUAUAUAUAUAUAUAUAUAUAUAUAUAUAUAUAUAACCAAAUAAUUUACUUUUUAAGUCCCUUAUCUUUACAAAAUACAAAUAUAAAAUUCAAGCUCCUUAAUCUUUAAUCUUAAUUUUCACUUUUACACGUUAGUCCUUUCUCUGUCAGUCACCUCUCCUUGUUGAUUCUUGUGCUCCUCAAUCCUCACGAUUGAAUCAAACUCUAUUACGAAUAGGAUUAAAUUAUGCUAUGCUAACUACACUAGCAGGUAUUUCAUAAUUCUUCUCUGUUGUUGUAUUCAUGAUUUGUGGUAUUUAUAAUGAAGUACAAGUCAUGGUUGUUGUUGCCAUUCAUUGGCCAAUUGGUGCAGAAUAUUCUUGAAUAACAGAAAAAAGGAUAAGUAUCCUGGGUGGUUAUACCAAAAUGUGGAUAAGGUGGUGAGAUUGCUUUUCACAAUUGACAAUCUUACCCUGCAUUCCUUUACUCGUAAUCUCUGAGGUAUGUUGGCUUAUUGACUAUCCUCAUGGGCCUACUAUGUGCUGGUAUAGUAUUUCUAUCAUUAUCCAUCGUUGGAAAACCAACCUUUUCCUCAAGGUUGGACAAUUAAAAAAAAUAGAAAUAGGGGUAGGGUUAAAAAAAGCAUGAGUGAAGUUGCUUUGUUUGUGGGAUGGUUUGGGCCCUGACAAUGACAACCCUAAGGGUUAUCAACAUCGUGAAUGGCGAGAAGGUUGGGUGGUGACCUAUAUCACAGAGCAUUGAUCCUACCCUUGUGCCUUUUCUUUGCUUGGUUGUGGCUCUUGGAAGCACUAGUAGCUCUAACUUCUGCUCCAAUGGGUGCAGGCCACGAAGGGAGCUCACCAAAUUGAAGAGAUGAUGCUGUUGUUGCAUGGUCAGAAGAAGAAGAAGCAACAAGAGGGAGUGAAAGUUGUGAACGAUGAACUGUACGGCUAGGACCAUGACAACUGAACACCACUGUCAAUGAAGCGCAGACCUGCGUCAGCCCUGGUGGUGGUGGAAGCAGUGGCUUUGGUGGAGGCUGUGGCUUCAAUGGAACCGUGGUGGUGGUGGAUAUGGUGGUGGGGGUGAUGGUGGCAGAUAUAGUGGUCGUGGAAGUGAGGCAAGGGUUUGGGAAAGGGAGGAGCCAAGGGGCAGAGGACGGUGUUGCGAGACAACAUGCAGGGCAUCACGAAACCCGACGUCAAGAGAAUCAAUGGCAUAUUCUAAGAAAAAACCCGCAAAGUCCUUAAGAACUUUCUAGAGAAUUUUAUUUGCAAUGUUGAUACGUACACCGAGCACAUGUUAGGAGAAAGAUGGUUACCAUUAUGGAUCUUGUUGAUGCUCGCAAGAGGCAGGUCAGGGCUCUCUAUGAUUUUGGUGCUCGUGGUGGUGGGUAUAAUCGUGAUGGAGGAUUGUGGCUUGGGCCAUAAGGCACCCCACAGGGAGUCAUCACCUUCAUCAACGCACGCUCCUCCGCUAAAAUCUGCGACUUCUACAUGGAUAUUUGUGUCCAGUUUCGGGUGUGAGGGAGGAGAUGAUGGAUGAAGAGUUUCCAUGGCACCGCACAAGCCUAACAAGCGGUUCUAAGUACUCACAAAAUAGGGAUUGAACUGGGUGUUCAUAAGAAGGUAGGUGAUGAAAUAGAAGGGAAGAAACCUGUGGGGGGUAGAAUUACUUUUUGUUGUAAGUCCUCUUAACUUUACAAAAUACAAAUAUAAAAUUCAAACUCCUUAAUCUUAAAUCUUAAUUUUCACUUUUACACGCUAGUCCUUACUCUGUUAUUUACCUUUCGUUGUUGCUUCCUUCUUAGAGACCAAACCAUGAACUGACCUGUUUAUGUUUUUUUGGUGAACCUAAACAAGUUUUCCCCAAAUUUUUAAUAUUUAUUUAAGAGAAACAAAAUAAGGAGAUAUAUUAUUUGUGGACCUGAACAAGUUUUCCCCAAAUUUGAGUGAAUGGAGAAGAAAAGUGAAUUCUUUUUAUUUUUUUAGAACAUCAAACAACUCUCUAGAAGAUUAAAAAUAAAUAAAAAUAAUUUAUAUGAAGAAAAAAAAACUAUGGAGUAACAAAAAUUUUAAUUUAAAUUUAAUUUUAAUCAAUAUAAAAAUGAUUUUAGUAUAAUUUAUUUAUUUAUAUAUCUACAUAUUGAAAUAAGAGGAGAGAAUUUUGUUCACUUCGUCCUUCCUUAUUUAUCUCUAUUCAAACAUUAUAUUUUUUUACUCUAUUUUUCUUUUACUUGUAUCUUUUCCAUUUCUUUCUUCUCUUUUUUUUUUCCAUUUUUAAUUGUAAUGGAGCAUUAGGAACAAAACUAUACUUUUGUAUUUUGUGUAAAUUUUAAAAUGGAUUAACAUUUCAGUUUAAUGAUACUGGGGCCAAUUAAUUUAGCAAUUUCCUUUGAAGAAUUCAAGAUUUUGUUAAUUAAGAAUGUUAGACAGAAUACAAAUUAACGUUGUUUUGCAUCAGCUACACGAGAUUUUGUGUUAUUUUUUAUCAUUUAAAUUAGUACAGUAAAACAUUUUUCUUGAUGACUUUCGUAUAAUUUGUUAUUAAUUUAUUUCAAUAAAUCUCAGAAUUAAAUUUAUGAUAAAUUCUCUUAUGAUAAGCAUCCUCCUUAAACUAACACAUUUGAGAUUAACUUUCAGUUUCCAUCACUAGUUUGACUUCUGCAUGUGACAACCUAUCUUAUUAAUAAACCAUAGACCAUGUCCGAAGGCUCUUCGCUAUGCAAAGGUAUGGGGGAGGGAUGUUGUACGCAGCCUUACCUUUGCAUAUGCAAAGAGACUGUUUCCGGAUUCGAACCCAUGACCAACAAGUCACCAAGGCACAACUUUACCGCUGCACCAGGGUUCGCCCUCUCUACAAGUAGAGCAUGACUUGUCAAAAAAUAGUAUCUUUUAUAGUAAUUAUUUAGACAAGUACAAUUAAUAAUUGAUGUCUUUUUAAUCAAGUGAUUUAGAAUUGAAAUCUUGAUUAAUCAUUAAAUAAGUAAUACAUUAUAUUGAGAAAAAAAAAUAUUUUAUAUGUAUUUAUGAUUUCUAAUAAAAAUUAAUCACUGUUUUCGUACCAAAAACUAUUUCGUAUUAAUAUUAUCAUUAGAAAAUAAUAACAUCCUUGAAAAAAAGUACAAAAGUACAGUAUUUGUUUUUCUAUUAUUUAAAUCUGUAAGAAUUUGUAAUACCAACUACGCAUCAAGGUAGGUAGAUCAUCGUGUGCUUCAUCUCUUAGUAAGAAUCUGCGGGCAUGCAUGCAGCUCUAGCCUCGAUCUUUUCUCCCAUGAAACUAAAGAAUGCAAAAUCCAGAUGCUAGCUUGCGAACCAGGUUUAAUUUGGUACACAGUUAUUUAUUUGGCUAGCUAGCUAAUCCUGGCAAUAUAUAUAUAGACCAUAGUGCUAGCCAAUUUAAAUUUGUGAGUUGCAUUCGAAGCUUGAAACUAGCUAGCUACUUAAAAAGAGUAAAUCAUCAAUCAAAUUCAUUUAGUUAAGAUGGGCAAGUUUGUUGGGUUGUUCCUGCUGGUUUUGGUCAGUGUGGCCGUUGCUGAAUACGACAACGGUUAUCCUGAACAUGAAAACGAGAAAAAUGGCCCAUGCGGCAAGUUUAGCACACUUAGAAUUUUGACGCAUAAACUGCGUCACUGCGAAAAGGCUGCACGAGAUGCGUGGGCUCCUGUUUCUUCACAGUGCUGCAAUGACCUUGUAGAAGUAAGCAUCCCUUGCCUCUAUGCUGUUUUCUCCUCUGAUGCUUUCAAGAGAGUUGGUGUUGAUCCCAGAGUCGCAAUCACUAUUCCCCAUCGUUGCCAUUUCGCCAACAAGCCAUAGACCACAACUUACCUACCUAUCAUAAAUGAAAACAUAUUUUUCAGGUAUAUAUAUGAGCAUAUAUCUAUCAAGAAUAAUUAUUUAUAUUUCAAAAACUUUAUCUAGAAGCUGAUAAAUUGUUAUAUUUCUAUACUGAACUAAUUAAAUUCAUCACAUUUUUGGCUGUUAUAAAGUAGCAUAUGCUGAUUCAUUGUUUUCUCUAAUGUAAUUGCAGCUUGUAGAUGGCUGAGAACGUUGGUUAUGGUUACGCAACCUGAGGUUUUUACAAUUCGUCAAAGCUUCAGGAUACAGUAGUCUGUGUUGUGUACUGUAUGUUUGUUGUCCGUUAAUAAUUUGAGCUUGUUAUCAAGGCUCACAAAUAAAUUACCUUGUAAUGUACAAUUUUAUUCUCUAUCAAAUAAAUUCACGUUUUCUUAAAAUAUAUCUUUUUGGUUGUUUCGAAUUUAAUUUUAUUUGGAUGAAUUGGUGUAUCUUAGAGAAUAUGAGUGUGUUUGAGUAAACUAUGGAAAAUCUUAAAAUUUAAUUUGUUUGCAAAUGAAUCUCGACCCUAUGUUUGUGUAAACAUUGGUCCGUUUGAUGUGUGCAUUAGAACAACUAUUAUAGUAUAUUCCACAACAACUCAAACAUGUAUUACAUUCAUUUUCCACAACAACUCAAACAUAUAUGCACUACAUUGUUGGUUUGCGACUGUGCUGAGGACUUUCUGCAUUGAACUAUUCACCAUAUAGUUUCCUCGGCCUAGCUGCAUAAUCUUGUGCAUAUUAUCAUUCAGUGUAUAGAUAAUUUUUAGUUUUACUAUUAUUUGGUGGACUCUGCAAUGUUACAUGAGAUUUAAGAAUUUUAAUAAGUAUUUUCUCUUAUGAUACAAUUUUUAAAAACUCAAAAUUGCAUUUGAUAAUUAUCUAAUUAACAAUUCAAAAGAACUUUGAAGGAUAGUUGUUUAUACAACUAUUAUUUACAUGUCGAUUUUUCAACAAUAAAAUUGUAUAAGAACUUAUUCUUAAGUUUAAGAAUCCUAUAUACAAGGAUAUAUGCUCUAUGUUCUUAACUUUCCCACUAAAGAUAACAACUAAGAUAAUAUGACUUCGCUAGCUGUCCAAAAAAAAAAAAAAAGAUAACACCAUGAUGACUUCAUAAAUAACAAAUAAGAUAACAUGAUUUGAUUAAUUACAGAAUAACUAAUUAUAGAACCACAACAACGACGAGUCUUGUCUUACCCAACGUUGAAAUGGACCAAAACAACGACGGGUCUUCGCCUACCCGUCGUUGAAAUGGACCCCAACAACGACGGGUUCUUCAACAUGUGCAUUGUCGAAUCAUUUUUUAAAACGUCUGUUGUUAUAUAGGCAUUGACGUCUGACGUUGUAUUCUGACCUUACAAAGAUGGGUCCUACUAUGAUCAAUGUCGUUGUUGUCGACAUACAACGACAUCUGGAACAAAGACGGUGUGGGGCCCGUCGUAGAUACUGGUUUUCAACCGAUGUAGAAGCUUCUUUUUGUAGUUGUGCCAGGAUCGACUAUCCUGUUAAUUAACAAAUCUUUUAGACUUUUACAUCAUGAUGAAGUAGUAAAGUAAAGUGAAAGUAGGUAGAAUUUAGAUUAAAAUUUAGGGGGUGUAAAAAAAGAAUAUCUUCUCGCUUUAAUAAUUAAUAAUGUAAAUUGAAAAUAAUGUUGCUUGAUACUACCAAAAAAUUUAACUACCAGAAAAAUAUUUUCUUCCCAAGCUUGACUUGAAAAUGGUGAAAAGAUAAUGUUAAAGUGUUUCACUUCGUCUUGUUUUCUUUUUCUGUUUGUUUUUUAUCUUCAAGAUGUGUUAAAAGCUAAAUUAUGGCCCCUUAUAUAUUAUCUAAAUUAUAUCUCAAUCAAUACUUGUUUUUCUAAUGGUAUGGUUAUGGUUGUUGAGAGUUUUAGCAUUUUUCUUAUUAAAGGUAAAAAUUUUAUUUAGACGUUGAGUGUAAAUAAAAAAAAGGAAAUGGAGAGGAUAAAGGUAGGCUAAAAUUUUUAAUAUUUGUUUGAAAGAAAAAAAAAAGGUAAGGAGAAAUUUUUUUGGGGACAUAAAUCCGACCCAUCCCCCCUCCCCCGGGAGAAAAGUUUUUUUUCUUUUUUUCCAAUAAACGUGAUUGUUUCCAAUUUUCAUUGAGUGUGAUUCAAUCGUGAGGAUUGAGGAGCUCAAGAAGCAACAAGGAGAGGUGACAAAGUGAAGACUAGCAUAUAAAAGUAAAAAUCAUGAUUAAAGAUUAAGGAGUUUGAAUUUUAUAUUUGUAUUUUGUAAAGUUAAGGAGACUUACAACAAAAAGUAAAUUUUUUUGUUAUAUAUAUAAAAUUAGAAAAACAGAUAAAGCAAUGGAUAAUUUGUUCCAUGGGGUGUGAGCUUUGUCAUUUACAAGAUUUCAAACUAUAGGAAUUAAAAAAAUAUUAAAAUAUAAAUUAUAUAAAUUAAAAAAUCAGUUUCAAACUAUAAAAAAUAAAAGAGAAUUAAAAUCUAAAUGAUAAAGAUUGAAAAACACUUUCAAAUUAUAAGAACUAAAAGAUAUAAAUUAUGAAACUAUAGAAAACAAAUGAGUAACUAAACCUAUUUAUUUUAAGUGUAGAUGCAAAGUAACUUAGUAAGUUUCAGGGGACGAUUGCCCCUAUAUUGAAAUAUGUAAUUUGGGCCCUCCUCGAACUAGAUGAUGAUAUGUUGUAUAUUAUUAACUAAUUGGUAAGUGCACCAAUUCAUCCAAGCAGUAAAGUAAAACGGAAAUUCGAGUGUUAGAGUCCACAAGGAUUUUGUUUGUACUUGGAGUUGUGUCUAUCCAAUUUUCAAGCAAUAAUUGAAUUGAUUUAAAUAAUUGUGAUACGAAAUAGCAAAAAUAAAUUGACAGAAAAUUAAAAUAAUUAUCUAGCACGUGCAAGGGAAGAACAACAAACACUUGAAGCGGUAAAAUGAGGACUGAUACAGAAUACGAAUGUGUUGGAGUUUAGCCUACCAAAACUAUUCUUGAUGUAAUGUUAAUGAUUUUUCUCUAUUUAAUAUUAAUCAAAUUAUCACCUACAUCUACUCCAAUCAUGAUUCCUCAUAAGAAACAGUUUAUUUUACCUAAUUUCUCUCCUAAUUCCUUAAGAGAAUAAACCGGUUAAAUUAUAUUAUUAGUAGAGAUGCAUACAACAUGCUAAAUAGCACCAAUCUAUCCCUAGAGAUGAAUUAUUUGGAAGCCAUUUUCCAGUCCUUAAGAGAUGAACAUUUUCCAAUGCCUAAACCCUCAAACAUAGCAUGAAUAUGGGUGAUCAAACCACACACAUGAGAAUAAACACAUAAAAGAGAUAAUGAAAUUGAAAUAACAUUAAAUAGAUAGUAAGAGUCUUUACAUCAAGAGUGUUUGGUUGUUAAACUCCCAACAAUAGGUGAUUCAGUCUCUCAUUAUCAUGAAAGACUUUACAAUUGCAAGAGGAUGAUGGAGAGUAAAGAAGAAUGGAGAUGGAGGAAAGGAAUGACUCCUAAUGAUUGAUUUCUCUUAUUCCUGCACGAACCCUAGCCUUUGCUCUCCGUGAAUCUGAAUAAUUUGGUGAAUGACUGAAUAAUAUGUUUCCACCUUCCUUUUCUCCUUUAAAACAUAGCUCUGUUCUGUUAUUUUUUGCGACCUCGCGCUAAGUAGGAUACUCACGAUAAGCGAAGAGUAAGUGGUCAUGCGUUAAGCGCGCCUUCACUGAUAUCAGGUUUCUCCAUGUGACUUCUUUGUACAAAACGAGUAUUGCCCCGCUGAGCGAUUGCAUCGUGUUGGGCACAAAACGAGAGUUUCCCUAUCUUUAAUUUCUCUUCCAUGCUUUAUUUUGUGUUUCUACAACAAAUACACCACCAAAACAGUAUAAAUUCACCAAUUUAAACACCUAUUAGACAAAAACUUGGAUGAUGUCGAAAUUCUAAUUAUUCACACAAAAAGAAGUAAUAAAAAAGUAAAAUUUGACAAUUUUUAUUAACUUAAUUACAAGAUAUACUUAUGCACGACCGUUAUCAUAUAUCGAUUGUUGUUUUGCAUAAACCACACUAGAUUCUUGUUUUCUAAAUAUACAACAAUAAAACCUUAUUCUUAACAAAAAACAAAGAAGGGUGUUGGAAUUAAAAGGGCAACCAAUCAGAUUUUGUCUAUAUUUUUAUGCAUUUAAAUUCAUACAACUAAAAUUUUUUCUUGAUUUAUUGUGACCUUUGUAUAAUUUGUUAUAAAUUUAUUUAAAUAAAUCUCAGAAUUAAAUUUAUAAAUAAUGAAAUUCUCUUAUGAAAAACAUCCUCCUUAAACAAACAAGCACAUUUGAGAUAAACUUAAGUUUUCAAGACUAGUUUGACUUCUGUGACAACCUCCGAACCUCCUUCAUUAUUUAUCUUAUUAAUAAACCAUGGACCGUCUAAGUAUAGCAUGACGUUUCACAAAAUAGCAUCGUUGAAAAAGUAUUUAUUUUUCGAUUCUUUAUAUAUAUAUAAGAAGAAAGCCUCCAUAAGUAAGACAUAUAGGCUGUUGAGUAAGAUAUUGUAAUACCAACUACGUACCAAGGCUGUGCAGUGCUUCCUGAUUCAAAAUAUUCUCCGGCCUGCUUUCUUCUCUACGGUAAGAAUCUGCGGGCAUGAAGCUGUAACCCUACCUUCUCCCAUCAAUUUAAAGAAUGCCAAAUCCAGAUGCUUGUGAACAAGGUUUUGUGCAUAGUUUACUAGUUUAUCUUGCUAAUCUAGCAGUAUAUAUAGAGCAUGGUGCAAGGCAAUUUUUGUGAGUUGUAUUUCAAGCUUGAAGCUACUUAAAAAGAGUAAAUCAUCAAUCAAAUUCAUUUAGUUAAGAUGAGCAAGUUCGUUGGUGUGUUCCUGCUGCUUUUGAUCACUGUGACCGUUGCUGAAUACGACCACAGUUAUCCUGAACAUGAAAACGAGAAAAAUGGUCCAUGCGGCAAGUUUGGCACACUUAGAAUUUUGACGCAUAAACUGCGUCACUGCGAAAAGGCUGCACGAAAUGCAUGGGUUCCUGUUUCUUCACAGUGCUGCAAUGACCUUGUAGAAGUAAGCAUCCCUUGCCUCUAUGCUGUUUUCUCCUCCGAUGCUUUCAAGAGAGUUGGUGUUGAUCCCAGAGUCGCAAUCACCAUUCCCCAUCGUUGCCAUUUCUCCAACAAGCCAUAGACCACAACUUACCUACCUACCAUAAAUGCCAACAUAUUUUUCAGGUAUAUAUAUGAGCAUAUAUCUAUCAAGAAUAAUUAUUUAUAUUUCAAAAACUUUAUCCGCAAGCUGAUAAAUUGUUAUAUUUCUAUACUGAACUAAUUAAAUUAAACAUUUAU
rnacentral:lncRNA from 1 species